CAGCAGCCGCGGUAAUACGGAGGGUGCAAGCGUUAAUUGGAAUUACUGGGCGUAAAGCGCACGCAGGCGGUCUGACAAGUCAGAUGUGAAAUCCCCGGGCUUAACCUGGGAACUGCAUUUGAAACUGUCAGGCUGGAGUCUUGUAGAGGGGGGUAGAAUUCCAGGUGUAGCGGUGAAAUGCGUAGAGAUCUGGAGGAAUACCGGUGGCGAAGGCGGCCCCCUGGACAAAGACUGACGCUCAGGUGCGAAAGCGUGGGGAGCAAACAGGAUUAGAUACCCCUGUAGUCCCUGUCUCUUAUAC
rnacentral:rRNA from 1 species